ACAAUGGAGAGUUUGAUCCUGGCUCAGGAUGAACGCUAGCUACAGGCUUAACACAUGCAAGUCGAGGGGAAACGACAUCGAAAGCUUGCUUUUGAUGGGUGUCGACCGGCGCACGGGUGAGUAACGCGUAUCCAACCUGCCCAUCACUUGGGGAUAACCUUGCGAAAGUAAGACUAAUACCCAAUGACGUCUCUAGAAGACAUCUGAAAGAGAUUAAAGAUUUAUCGGUGAUGGAUGGGGAUGCGUCUGAUUAGCUUGUUGGCGGGGUAAC
rnacentral:rRNA from 1 species